AUACGGAGGGGGUUAGCGUUGUGCGGAAUUACUGGGCGUAAAGCGCACGUAGGCGGAUUGGAAAGUUGGGGGUGAAAUCCCAGGGCUCAACCCUGGAACUGCCUCCAAAACUAACAGUCUAGAGUUCGAGAGAGGUGAGUGAAAUUCCAAGUGUAGAGGUGAAAUUCGUAGAUAUUUGGAGGAACACCAGUGGCGAAGGCGGCUCACUGGCUCGAUACUGACGCUGAGGUGCGAAAGCGUGGGGAGCAAACAGGAGUAGAAACCCUAGUAGUCC
rnacentral:rRNA from 1 species